rnacentral:rRNA from 2 species
CAUGGCUCAGAACGAACGCUGGCGGCAUGCCUAACACAUGCAAGUCGAACGAACCCUUCGGGGUUAGUGGCGCACGGGUGCGUAACGCGUGGGAACCUGCCUUUAGGUUCGGAAUAACUCAGAGAAAUUUGAGCUAAUACCGGAUAAUGUCUUCGGACCAAAGAUUUAUCGCCUUUAGAUGGGCCCGCGUUAGAUUAGAUAGUUGGUGGGGUAAUGGCCUACCAAGUCGACGAUCUAUAGCUGGUCUGAGAGGAUGAUCAGCCACACUGGGACUGAGACACGGCCCAGACUCCUACGGGAGGCAGCAGUGGGGAAUAUUGGACAAUGGGCGAAAGCCUGAUCCAGCAAUGCCGCGUGAGUGAUGAAGGCCUUAGGGUUGUAAAGCUCUUUUACCAGGGAUGAUAAUGACAGUACCUGGAGAAUAAGCUCCGGCUAACUCCGUGCCAGCAGCCGCGGUAAUACGGAGGGAGCUAGCGUUGUUCGGAAUUACUGGGCGUAAAGCGCGCGUAGGCGGCUUUUCAAGUCAGGGGUGAAAUCCCGGGGCUCAACCCCGGAACUGCCCUUGAAACUGGAUGGCUAGAAUACUGGAGAGGUGAGUGGAAUUCCGAGUGUAGAGGUGAAAUUCGUAGAUAUUCGGAAGAACACCAGUGGCGAAGGCGACUCACUGGACAGUUAUGA